rnacentral:rRNA from 1 species
CCCAGACUCCUACGGUAGGCAGCAGUGAGGAAUAUUGGUCAAUGGUCGGGAGACUGAACCAGCCAAGCCGCGUGAGGGAUGAAGGUACAGAGUAUCGUAAACCUCUUUUGUCAGGGAACAAAGGCGGGGACGCGUCCCCGGAUGAGUGUACCUGAAGAAAAAGCAUCGGCUAACUCCGUGCCAGCAGCCGCGGUAAUACGGAGGAUGCGAGCGUUAUCCGGAUUUAUUGGGUUUAAAGGGUGCGUAGGCGGAUUUUUAAGUCAGCGGUAAAAUGUCCGGGCUCAACCCGGGCCGGCCGUUGAAACUGGGGAUCUUGAGUGGGCGAGAAGUAUGCGGAAUGCGUGGUGUAGCGGUGAAAUGCUUAGAUAUCACGAAGAACCCCGAUUGCGAAGGCAGCCUGCCGCAGCGUUACUGACGCUGAAGCUCGAAAGCGCGGGUAUCGAACAGGAUUAGAUACCCGCGUAAC